rnacentral:lncRNA from 1 species
CAAGGUCAGACAAGCACGUGUUCGGCUGUUAUGGCUGCCGAAAUGGGGAGCUGGUCCCUUCAGUUUUUCUCAACAGAGUUUCUCUGUGUAACUUUGGAGCCAGCCUGUCCUGGAACUCUCUUUGUAGACCAAGCUGGCCUCGACUCACCGAUAGCCACCUGUUUUUGCCUUCUGAGUGCUGGGAUUAAAGGUGUGCAGUCUUUCCAUUUUUUCCCUGCCUCCUCAACACAUUCUCCCUGGAAGUCUGAAUUUGAUGCAGUAUUGGUUUUCAGCUACCUCUCUUCUACUUCACUGGUUACUUUUGCUCUGUA